CCUGCCUCAGCCUCCCGAGUAGCUGGACUACAGAUGCAUGCCACCAUGUCUAGUAAAUUUUUGUAUUUUUAGUAGAGACAGGGUUUCACCAUGUUGGCCAGGAUGGUCUCAAUCUCCUGACCUCGUGAUCCACCCACCUCGGCCUCCCAAGGUGCUGGGAUUACAGGCGUGAGCCACUGCACCUGGCCAUUAAGUGGUUUUUAAAAUACAAAGCUACUUAUCCAAAUGAAAUGUACCAUUUAAAAACUACAACUGGGCCGGGCGCAGUGGCUCAGCCUGACCAACAUGAUGAAACCCUGUCUCCACUAAAAAUACAAAAUUAAGCGUGGUGGCCCGUGCCUGUAGUCUCAACUACUCAGGAGGCUGAGGCAGGAGAAUCUCUUGAACCCAGGAGGCGGAGGUUGCCCUGAGCCAAGAUUGUGCUAUUGCACUCCACCCUGGGAAAUAGAGCAAGACUCCGUCUCAAAAAAAAAAAAAGUGCAACUGUUGCCGGGCAUGGUGGUUCACACCUGUAAUCCCAGCACUUUGGGAAGCUGAGGCGGGUAGUGGAUCACCUAAGGUCAGGAGUUUGAGACCAGCCCAGCCAACAUGGUGAAACCCCAUCUCUACUAAAAAUAACAAAAAAAUUAGCUGGGCGUGCUGGUGGGCGCUGGUAGUCCCAGUGACUUGGGAGGCUGAGGCAGGAGAAUUGAACCUGGGAGGUGGAGGUUGCAGUGAGCUGAAAAUGCGCCACUGCACUCCAGCCUGGGCGACAGAGCGAGACUCCAUCUCAAAAAAUAAAUGAAUUAAUUAAAAGUAUGGCUGUUGAGCUAACAGAUGAUUUUAUAACAUGACCCAAU
rnacentral:lncRNA from 1 species